rnacentral:rRNA from 1 species
CCUACGGGUGGCUGCAGUGAGGAAUAUUGGUCAAUGGGCGAGAGCCUGAACCAGCCAAGUCGCGUGAGGGAGUACUGCCCUAGGGGUUGUAAACCUCUUUGGUCGGGGAGAAAAAGCCGGACGUGUCCGGCUGUGAGAGUACCCGAAGAAAAAGCAUCGGCUAACUCCGUGCCAGCAGCCGCGGUAAUACGGAGGAUGCGAGCGUUAUCCGGAUUUAUUGGGUUUAAAGGGUGCGCAGGCGGAUUUUUAAGUCAGCGGUAAAAUCGUGGGGCUCAACCCCAUCCAGCCGUUGAAACUGGGUAUCUAGAGUGCGCGUGAGGUAUGCGGAAUGCGUGGUGUAGCGGUGAAAUGCAUAGAUAUCACGCAGAACCCCGAUUGCGAAGGCAGCAUACGGGUGCACAACUGACGCUCAGGCACGAAAGCGUGGGUAUCGAACAGGAUUAGAUACCCCUGUAGUC